UACGUAGGGUGCGAGCGUUAAUCGGAAUUACUGGGCGUAAAGCGUGCGCAGGCGGUUUUGUAAGCCAGAUGUGAAAUCCCCGGGCUUAACCUGGGAAUGGCAUUUGGGACUGCAAAGCUUGAGUGCGGCAGAGGGGACUGGAAUUCCUGGUGUAGCAGUGAAAUGCGUAGAGAUCAGGAGGAAUACCAAUGGCGAAGGCAGGUCCCUGGGCUGACACUGACGCUCAUGCACGAAAGCGUGGGGAGCAAACAGG
rnacentral:rRNA from 1 species